rnacentral:rRNA from 1 species
AGUGGCGGAAGGGUUAGUAAUACAUGAAUAAUCUGCCUUCAACUUGGGAAUAACGGUUGGAAACGAUCGUUAAUACCGAAUGUGGUGGAAGAAAGGUUCUUUCUUCCAUUAAAGUGGGGGACCCCUCGGGGCCUUGCGGUUGAAGAGGAGUUCAUGGGAUAUCAGCUUGUUGGUGUGGUAAUGGCGCACCAAGGCUAAGACGUCUAGGCGGAUUGAAAGAUUGACCGCCAACACUGGGACUGAGACACUGCCCAGACUCCUACGGGAGGCUGCAGUCGAGAAUCUUUCGCAAUGGGCGAAAGCCUGACGAAGCGACGCUGCGUGAGUGAUGAAGGCCUUCGGGUUGUAAAACUCUUUCGCCUGGGGACAAGAGAGAAAGCCUAAUAUGCUUUUGAUUUGAGGGUACCAGGUAAAGAAGCACCGGCUAACUCCGUGCCAGCAGCUGCGGUAAUACGGAGGGUGCAAGCAUUAAUCGGAUUUAUUGGGCGUAAAGAGUAUGUAGGUGGAAAAGUCAGUCAAGUGUGUAAUCCCGUAGCUCAACUAUGGAACUGCACUUGAUACUUCUUUUCUUGAGGAUAGAUAGGGAAAGCGGAAUUUUGCAUGUAGCGGUGAAAUGCGCAGAUAUGCAAAGGAACACCAGUGGCGAAGGCGGCUUUCUGGUCUACUCCUGACACUGAGAUACGAAAGCAAGGGGAGCAAACAGGAUUAGAUACCCUGGUAGUCCUUGCCGUAAACGAUGCAUACUAGGUGUAACCGGAAUCAGCCCCGGUUUUGCUGUAGUUAACGCGUUAAGUGUGCCGCCUGGGGAGUACGCUCGCAAGGGUGAAACUCAAAAGAAUUGACGGGGACCCGCACAAGCAGUGGAGCAUGUGGUUUAAUUCGAUGCAACGCGAAGAACCUUACCUGGGUUUGACAUGUAGUGGACAGCUCCAGAAAUGGAGUCUUCCUUCGGGACUGCUACACAGGUGCUGCAUGGCUGUCGUCAGCUCGUGCCGUGAGGUGUUGGGUUAAGUCCCGCAACGAGCGCAACCCCCAUUGUUAGUCGCCAGCGCGUAAUGGCGGGGACUUUAACGAGACUGCCUGGGUGAACCAGGAGGAAGGUGGGGACGAUGUCAAGUCCGCAUGGCCCUUAUGCCCAGGGCUACACACGUGCUACAAUGGCCGGUACAGAAGGCUGCAAGACCGAAAGGUGGAGCAAAUCCCAAAAGCCGGUCUUAGUUCGAAUUGAAGUCUGCAACUCGACUUCAUGAAGUUGGAAUUGCUAGUAAUGGCGCGUCAGCAAUAGCGCCGUGAAUACGUUCCCGGGUCUUGUACACACCGCCCGUCACAUCAUGGGAGUUGGUUUCACUUAAAGUCGUUUACUUAACCGCAAGGGGGGAAACGCCAAGAGUGGGGCUAGUAACUGGGAUGAAGUCGGAACAAGGUA